AACGCGAAGAACCUUACCAAGGCUUGACAUAUACUGGACCGCAUCAGAGAUGGUGUUUCCCUUCGGGGCUGGUAUACAGGUGGUGCAUGGUUGUCGUCAGCUCGUGUCGUGAGAUGUUGGGUUAAGUCCCGCAACGAGCGCAACCCUCGUUCUAUGUUGCCAGCACGUUAUGGUGGGGACUCAUAGGAGACUGCCGGGGUCAACUCGGAGGAAGGUGGGGAUGACGUCAAAUCAUCAUGCCCCUUAUGUCUUGGGCUUCACGCAUGCUACAGUGGCCGGUACAGAGGGUUGCGAUACUGUGAGGUGGAGCUAAUCCCUAAAAGCCGGUCUCAGUUCGGAUUGGGGUCUGCAACUCGACCCCAUGAAGUCGGAGUCGCUAGUAAUCGCAGAUCAGCA
rnacentral:rRNA from 1 species